UACAGAGGUCUCAAGCGUUGUUCGGAUUCAUUGGGCGUAAAGGGUGCGUAGGCGGCGCGGUAAGUCGGGUAUGAAAUCUCGGAGCUUAACUCCGAAACUGCAUUCGAUACUGCCGUGCUUGAGGACUGGAGAGGAGACUGGAAUUUACGGUGUAGCGGUGAAAUGCGUAGAUAUCGUAAGGAAGACCAGUGGCGAAGGCGGGUCUCUGGACAGUUCCUGACGCUGAGGCACGAAGGUCAGGGGGAGCAAACGGG
rnacentral:rRNA from 1 species